CCAAUUCCUGAACCUAUUCCUAAACCAACUUCGAAGAAGAGGGGUAUUCUAUUUCUCAGUCCUGAAGAUAUGCAAGAGGCAAAGAAAUCUAUGAAAGAAAAGGGUAUUAAAGCUGAAGAUGUUAAGAAUUUACCUCCUAUUGAAGAUAUACAUGGUCUUAAUUUACUGCCUGCUGAAGAAACAUAUAAUCUUAAUCCAUUACCUAUUGAAGAAACUCAUGGUCUUGAUAACCCGACACAGGUAGUAAAGGUAAAUUCUCUCUAUAGAUAUGAUAAAGCUGUAAUCCCAUUUACUAAAAUUGCUAGCCCAUGCUUAGAUGAGUUUGAUAAAUUUAUGGCUAAGCAAGAAGAUUUUAAUGCUUAUUUUGAUAGACAAUUAAAAUACAAUUCAAAUAUGCUUGGACACUUGGGUGAUUAUAUGGCAAAUGUCAAAGGUGAACUUAAACUUAUUAGUAAACAUGCUUCUAUGGUUACCGCUCAAGUAGAACAAGUACUUAAAGCUCAAAAUGAUUUGCUCAAUGAAUUGAAUAGUAAAGAUAAUGAUAAUGCU
rnacentral:rRNA from 1 species